rnacentral:rRNA from 1 species
UGGGGAAUAUUGCACAAUGGGCGCAAGCCUGAUGCAGCAACGCCGCGUGAACGAAGAAGGCCUUCGGGUCGUAAAGUUCUGUCCAUAGGGAAGAAAGAAAUGACGGUACCUUUGGAGGAAGCCCCGGCUAAAUACGUGCCAGCAGCCGCGGUAAUACGUAUGGGGCAAGCGUUAUCCGGAAUUAUUGGGCGUAAAGAGUGCGUAGGUGGUGGCUUAAGCGCAGGGUUUAAGGCAAUAGCUUAACUAUUGUUCGCCUUGCGAACUGGGUCACUUGAGUACAGGAGAGGAAAGCGGAAUUCCUAGUGUAGCGGUGAAAUGCAUAGAUAUUAGGAGGA